GCUUAACACAUGCAAGUCGAGCGGUAAGGCCCUUCGGGGUACACGAGCGGCGAACGGGUGAGUAACACGUGGGUGAUCUGCCCUGCACUUCGGGAUAAGCCUGGGAAACUGGGUCUAAUACCGGAUAUGACCUUCGGCUGCAUGGCUGAGGGUGGAAAGGUUUACUGGUGCAGGAUGGGCCCGCGGCCUAUCAGCUUGUUGGUGGGGUAAUGGCCUACCAAGGCGACGACGGGUAGCCGACCUGAGAGGGUGACCGGCCACACUGGGACUGAGACACGGCCCAGACUCCUACGGGAGGCAGCAGUGGGGAAUAUUGCACAAUGGGCGAAAGCCUGAUGCAGCGACGCCGCGUGAGGGAUGACGGCCUUCGGGUUGUAAACCUCUUUCAGCAGGGACGAAGCGAAAGUGACGGUACCUGCAGAAGAAGCACCGG
rnacentral:rRNA from 1 species